rnacentral:SRP_RNA from 1 species
GCUGGGCAUGGUGGCGCAUGCCUGUAAUCCCAGCUACUCGGGAGGCUGAGGCAGGAGAAUUGCCUGAACCCAGGAGGUGGAGGUUGUGCUGAGCCGAGAUCGCGCCAUUGCACUCCAGCCUGGGUAACAGAGCGAAAUUCCGUCUCAU